AUAAUGGGUCAGCGACUUAUAUUCUGUAGCAAGGUUAACCGAAUAGGGGAGCCGAAGGGAAACCGAGUCUUAACUGGGCGUUAAGUUGCAGGGUAUAGACCCGAAACCCGGUGAUCUAGCCAUGGGCAGGUUGAAGGUUGGGUAACACUAACUGGAGGACCGAACCGACUAAUGUUGAAAAAUUAGCGGAUGACUUGUGGCUGGGGGUGAAAGGCCAAUCAAACCGGGAGAUAGCUGGUUCUCCCCGAAAGCUAUUUAGGUAGCGCCUCGUGAAUUCAUCUCCGGGGGUAGAGCACUGUUUCGGCAAGGGGGUCAUCCCGACUUACCAACCCGAUGCAAACUGCGAAUACCGGAGAAUGUUAUCACGGGAGACACACGGCGGGUGCUAACGUCCGUCGUGAAGAGGGAAACAACCCAGACCGCCAGCUAAGGUCCCAAAGUCAUGGUUAAGUGGGAAACGAUGUGGGAAGGCCCAGACAGCCAGGAUGUUGGCUUAGAAGCAGCCAUCAUUUAAAGAAAGCGUAAUAGCUCACUGGUCGAGUCGGCCUGCGCGGAAGAUGUAACGGGGCUAAACCAUGCACCGAAGCUGCGGCAGCGACGCUUAUGCGUUGUUGGGUAGGGGAGCGUUCUGUAAGCCUGUGAAGGUGUACUGUGAGGUAUGCUGGAGGUAUCAGAAGUGCGAAUGCUGACAUAAGUAACGAUAAAGCGGGUGAAAAGCCCGCUCGCCGGAAGACCAAGGGUUCCUGUCCAACGUUAAUCGGGGCAGGGUGAGUCGACCCCUAAGGCGAGGCCGAAAGGCGUAGUCGAUGGGAAACAGGUUAAUAUUCCUGUACUUGGUGUUACUGCGAAGGGGGGACGGAGAAGGCUAUGUUGGCCGGGCGACGGUUGUCCCGGUUUAAGCGUGUAGGCUGGUUUUCCAGGCAAAUCCGGAAAAUCAAGGCUGA
rnacentral:rRNA from 1 species